rnacentral:rRNA from 1 species
UACGAAGGGUGCAAGCGUUACUCGGAAUUACUGGGCGUAAAGGGUGCGUAGGUGGUUUGUUAAGUCUGCUGUGAAAUCCCCGGGCUCAACCCGGGAACUGCAUCUGAAACUGCGGUCCUUGAGUACUGGAGAGGGUGGCGGAAUUCCUGGUGUAGCGGUGAAAUGCGCAGAUAUCAGGAAGAACACCCGUGGCUAAGGCGGCUCUCUAGUACGGUACUGACGCUGAGACGCGAAAGCGUGGGGAGCGAACAGG